GCGUGAGGAACCUGCCUCAAAGAGGGGGACAACAGUUGGAAACGACUGCUAAUACCGCAUAAGCCCACGGGUCGGCAUCGAUCUGAGGGAAAAGGAGCAAUCCGCUUUGAGAUGGCCUCGCGUCCGAUUAGCUAGUUGGUGAGGUAACGGCCCACCAAGGCGACGAUCGGUAGCCGGACUGAGAGGUUGAACGGCCACAUUGGGACUGAGACACGGCCCAGACUCCUACGGGAGGCAGCAGUGGGGAAUAUUGCACAAUGGGGGAAACCCUGAUGCAGCGACGCCGCGUGGAGGAAGAAGGUCUUCGGAUUGUAAACUCCUGUUGUUGAGGAAGAUAAUGACGG
rnacentral:rRNA from 1 species